GGUUUUUUUAGGUUUUUGGGGGGUGGGGGGGGUUAGGUUUUUUUAGGUUUUUGGGGGUGGGUGGGGGGGGUUAGGUUUUUUUAGGUUUUUGGGGGGUGGGGGGGGGGGGUUAGUGUAAUUUUGAUAAUUACCCUACAAUUUUGAUAAUUACCCUACACGACCAAAAUUACUCUACUUGAGCUUUUACAAAAUUACCCUACAGAAGUUCAAAAUUACUCUACUAGAGUAAUUUUGAAGUUGCUGAUAAUUACCAAAAUGCCACCGCCACUUUUUUUACUUUCUUUCACUUCGUACGUUUCGUACGAUAAUUUUAUUUUCACAAGAACUUAACUCUAAAAAUAUAACAUUAAGUAGAGGUGCGCAAAAACCUAACCAUUAACAAAAAAAAAUUAACCAAAGUUAACCGAAAACCGACUAAACAGACCAGUUAUGGUUAAGUGCACCUCCAUAACCAAGCCAUCAGUUAUGGUCAAGAAGUCUUGA
rnacentral:lncRNA from 1 species